rnacentral:rRNA from 1 species
UCCGUAGGCGGUGUGGCAAGUCGGUAGUGAAAUCUCUCGGCUUAACUGAGAGGCUGCUGCCGAAACUGCCAUGCUCGAGUGCGAGAGAGGCGAGUGGAAUUGCGGGUGUAGCGGUGAAAUGCGUAGAUAUCCGCAGGAACAUCCGAGGCGAAAGCGGCUCGCUGGAUCGCAACUGACGCUGGAGGGACGAAAGCUAGGGGAGCAAACAGGAUUAGAUACCCUGGUAGUCCUAGCCCUAAACCAUCAGGACUUGGGGUUUGCCCUGUACGGGGCAAGUCCCGGAGCUAACGCGUUAAGUCCUGCGCCUGGGGAGUACGGUCGCAAGGCUGAA